AACAAACGCUGGCGGCGCGUUUUAAGCAUGCAAGUCGGACGGCAAGAGCUGUAGCAAUAUGGCUCCUAGAGUGGCGAACGGGUGAGUAACACGUAGGUGAUCUGCCCUUGGAUGGGGGAUAGUCCGUGGAAACACGGGGUAAUACCGCAUGAGGCCUUGUGGGUAGAGCCAUGAGGUGAAAGGUGCAAUUGCACCGUCUGGGGAUGAGCCUGCGGUCCAUUAGGUAGUUGGCGGGGUAAGGGCCCACCAAGCCUACGAUGGAUAGCCGGCCUGAGAGGGUGUACGGCCACACUGGAACUGAGACACGGGCCAGACUCCUACGGGAGGCAGCAGCUAAGAAUCUUCCGCAAUGGGGGAAACCCUGACGGAGCGACGCCGCGUGGACGAUGGAGGCCGUAAGGUUGUAAAGUCCUUUUCCUGGUGAAGAAUGACUGUGGGAGUGGAAAGCCCAUGGGAUGACGUUAGCCAGGGAAUAAGCCCCGGCCAAUUACGUGCCAGCCGCCGCCGUAAUAC
rnacentral:rRNA from 1 species